UACGUAGGCAGCGAGCGUUGUUCGGAAUUACUGGGCGUAAAGAGUGCGUAGGCGGUGCUCUAAGUCUGUUGUGAAAUCUCCCGGCUCAACUGGGAGGGUGCGGCGGAAACUAGAGUGCUAGAGUAUGGGAGAGGUAAGCGGAAUUCCUGGUGUAGCGGUGAAAUGCGUAGAUAUCAGGAGGAACACCGGUGGCGAAGGCGGGUCUCUGGGCCGUAACUGACGCUGAGGAGCGAAAGCGUGGGGAGCGAACAGG
rnacentral:rRNA from 1 species